rnacentral:rRNA from 1 species
CAAAGGAGCAAUCCGCUGAAAGAUGGGCUCGCGUCCGAUUAGGUAGUUGGCGGGGCAACGGCCCACCAAGCCGACGAUCGGUAGCCGGACUGAGAGGUUGAACGGCCACAUUGGGACUGAGACACGGCCCAGACUCCUACGGGAGGCAGCAGUGAGGGAUAUUGGUCAAUGGGGGAAACCCUGAACCAGCAACGCCGCGUGAGGGAAGACGGUUUUCGGAUUGUAAACCUCUGUCCUCUGUGAAGAUGAUGACGGUAGCAGAGGAGGAAGCUCCGGCUAACUACGUGCCAGCAGCCGCGGUAAUACGUAGGGAGCAAGCGUUGUCCGGAUUUACUGGGUGUAAAGGGUGCGUAGGCGGCUUUGCAAGUCAGAAGUGAAAUCCAUGGGCUUAACCCAUGAACUGCUUUUGAAACUGCAGAGCUUGAGUGGAGUAGAGGUAGGCGGAAUUCCCGGUGUAGCGGUGAAAUGCGUAGAGAUCGGGAGGAACACCAGUGGCGAAGGCGGCCUGCUGGGCUCUAACUGACGCUGAGGCACGAAAGCGUGGGUAGCAAACAGGAUUAGAUACCCUGGUAGUCCACGCUGUAAAAGAUGAUUACUAGGUGUGGGUGGACUGACCCCAUCC